UUGGUACUUGUACCAACUGGAUGAGCAGCGAACGGGUGAGUAACGCGUGGGGAAUCUGCCUUUGAGCGGGGGACAACAUUUGGAAACGAAUGCUAAUACCGCAUAAAAACUUUAAACACAAGUUUUAAGUUUGAAAGAUGCAAUUGCAUCACUCAAAGAUGAUCCCUGCGUUGUAUUAGCUAGUUGGUGAGGUAAAGGCUCACCAAGGCGAUGAUACAUAGCCGACCUGAGAGGGUGAUCGGCCACAUUGGGACUGAGACACGGCCCAAACUCCUACGGGAGGCAGCAGUAGGGAAUCUUCGGCAAUGGACGAAAGUCUGACCGAGCAACGCCGCGUGAGUGAAGAAGGUUUUCGGAUCGUAAAACUCUGUUGGUAGAGAAGAACGUUGGUGAGAGUGGAAAGCUCAUCAAGUGACGGUAACUACCCAGAAAGGGACGGCUAACUACGUGCCAGCAGCCGCGGUAAUACGUAGGUCCCGAGCGUUGUCCGGAUUUAUUGGGCGUAAAGCGAGCGCAUGUGGUUUAUUAAGUCUGGUGUAAAAGGCAGUGGCUCAACCAUUGUAUGCAUUGGAAACUGGUAGACUUGAGUGCANGAGAGGAGAGUGGAAUUCCAUGUGUAGCGGUGAAAUGCGUAGAUAUAUGGAGGAACACCGGUGGCGAAAGCGGCUCUCUGGCCUGUAACUG
rnacentral:rRNA from 1 species